rnacentral:lncRNA from 1 species
CUGUAAUGUUUGGAGAAGACAAGAUGGCGCUGGUUACCUUGUGUCAUAUCAAAGGGCAUUUUUGUUCACAAAUACCCGCUUAUUUUACGUUAUAGUGACUGGUUCGUUUUGGAAAUUAUAACUCAAUGGACGGGGAAAAUGAUUCUGUAUUAAAGAGAAAAUGAUGUGCAGUUAUUGUGAUGUUAUUUGUUGUGAAAGACGGCCCGAAAUUUCGCUACUUCGCAGUACUGGUUUAUACAACAUUUACAAGCAACAGCAAUUGAACUAUAUGACAAAGAAACCAAUGUAUACAAGCCAAUCAAGUUCUUCAGUUUAAAGGUCUGUUUACUUUUUAAUAAUUAGUUCAUUUAGUUGUACAUUAAUACGAAGUACUGGAACAGUACGCCUAGUCACAGAAUGGCAAUUGCUAGAUAGUAUACUUCAAAAUAAGGUUUCCGUUUUUAUAUCAAUUUUUAAAAUAAGUUAGGAUUAAGUUAGGGUUUAGGUUAGGGUUAGGUUCAUAGAGAUUAUAAAUAACACUAGAGGAGGCAUUGUAAUCUUAAUUCAGUAAAAAAAAGGGA